AGAUUGAUGGCUUCCAAAGCCAGACCCGAUGCUUUACAACUGUGGUGGAAAAAAACAUACAGGCUUGCCUGAACACCACCAGGGCCGAGUGACUAAUUUGUUUUAUUACAUUGUUUUUCCCUUCUGUUUUCUCUCUGCCUCAGGAAAGUUGUGUUUUUGCUCGUCGACUCAAGGCCUCGAAGACUUUCCCCACUUUUUUCUAUGGCACACAGAGUUCUGCACGUGAACUUCUUGCUGGUUAACUGGAUUGCAUCAAAAUGAUUUCUCUGUGAGGUACUAUUGCUACCAGGAUAUCAAUUACUAUCCUAAUGUGGACAUUUGCUCUGAUAUGCAUAACAAUUGAAAAUAGAAAUAAGCCUCUCAGGGCAAUCAUUUCAAUUCACAGCAAAAUCUCUGCUUCCUUCAUCUAAAUAAAUAGAGUGAGCCUUCAGAACCCACCUGUGCCAGCCUGGCCCUGGGUGAGGAGACACACCAGUUCAUUUGCAAAAAGAACCGUGCGCAGAGCCCUUAGUGCAUAAAAAUCGAUCCUGGGGCCCUGUCACGUGGUCUGUCUUGCUUUAAAGGAGGCAUAACUUUGGGCAAGCCCUGGAAUAUGAACUGAGGUUGAAACCUGCCAAGAAAGAAAGAGGACUGUGAAGUCCUGGACAAGGCAAUGGGUCAUCUGUCCCUGAGCCUCUGAUCAAUACGGUCCGACAGAUGACGUCACAGAUCAUGACACUUUGGAAUCCAUGUGUGUGGAGAUCUAGCCUCACGUUUCCCACAGAUUGGCUUUUAAGGAAUGAGAGGAGUUGUCUUCUGGAGUCUCCCUAGGCAUUGAGGCUCACUUCUGUAAUCCCACGAGGUUCAAAACAUGCCAAGCCUACUAAGGUGGAAAAAGAUUUGUCAGAAAGAUUAGACCUGAACUGAGAUCUUCAGAUUCCACAUAUAUGAGAGAACGUGCACUUCAACAAAGAACAAGAGAUCAUAUUUUGUCCAACAAAGACAGAAGAAAAAUUAUUUCAUUCCAAUGAUAAAAGGCUUCUGAAGAAGAAAUCCAUUCUUCGUUUUGCUUUGCUUUUUAUUCAGUUCCCUAAUAAGGGUUUUUUGGCUGAUUAAUUGAUUGAUGUGGCAAAUAAAUACUAAAGUUGAGCCCUACGUAUCCCCACUCCACCGCCUACCCCGUAUCAUCCCCCGACCAAGCCCCAGCUGCUGUAGCAUCUGUGGGCUCCUCAAGAAGCUGUGUCUGCCUUUAGACACAUUCGAGGUUCACACCCCUUUUCCAGACGCAUCAGCCUAGCUUUGGCACGGAGGGAAUAAUCCAACAGCCAGUAGCUGCCUCCUGUGGGUGCCAAGGGUUGAGUUUGUUUCCUGUCCUUGGCUGAUGUUGAUGAAGGCAUUCCACAGUGGGUGGAUGUGGCUGUGUGAGUGCGUGCAUGUUCCUGUGUGUAUGCAUAUAAGCACAUGGGUGUGUGUGUGCUGGGGGGAGGGAGUGACUGGCAUAUAGUCCGGCAGAGAUAAUGUAUUCAAAUUUUGUUAUGCUUUCAAUGUGCUGCUAUGAUGAGGCAUUUGUAUAGAGCGGGAUUAAUCCAGCUAGGAGCCCUUAUGCAACAACCCAGUGAUUAGGCGUGUCUGGGGACCUGGAUAACAGAGACCCACUUGGACAGCAUGCAGGGAAGCCUGUAUCACACAGCACUGCAACAUACCUUCAUGCUAAUGUCUCACUCCCUACAAUGGGAACACCUGCUAAAAACACCCAAGAUUAGGACAAUGCACCGUCCUACAACAAGUCUCCCUGGCUACCAGAAUGCUGACCAAAAGUAGCAUUCCUGAUCACUCUUAAGCCACAAACACUGCUUCGUGUUUCUUCCUGGCCCCCUAUGUUACUUGACCUUCUGCUACGCAUUGUUGCUUGCGUUGUCAUCUCAAUCCUUCACUCCAACCUGCAUCUGUGCCCUUUGCCCCUUGGCCUUGGGUUUAGCCAUGCAACUUCUGUGACAAAUGAAAUGAAGCAGAAGGGAUGGGGUACCAGUUAUAAGCUCAGGUCCCAAGAGACCCUCUGUGUUUUAGCUUACUCUCGCAAAAGCUCCUACUGAUGCCUUGAAAAGAGCAUUUGUGGGCUAUCCCGCCGGUCCUAGGAGGAAAUAUGAGCCCCUCAUGGGCCCACAGAUGCUUGCCCAGCCAAAUUUGCCCAGCUCAGCUGAUCAGCAGGGGGUGCUGAAACACAGUCAAGGUAGCCAGAGGUAUGAAGGAUCAAGAUGUGUUUAAGAAAACACGAGGGGGCCGGGUGCAGUGGCUCACGCCCGUAAUCCCAACACUUUCGGAGGCUGAGGCGCGUGGAUCAUUUGAGUCCAGAAGUUCGGGACCAGCCUGGGCAACGUGGUGAAAACCCAUCUCUCCAAAAAUUACAAAAAUUAGCUGGGCGUGGUGACACAUGCCUGUGUUCCCAGCUACUCAGGAGGCCAAGGUGGGAGGAUCACUUGAGUCCGGGAGGCAGAGGUUACAGUGAGCCAAGAUUGUGCCAUUGCACUCCAGCCUGGGUGACAGAGCAAGACCCUGUCUGAGGGAAAAAAUAAAUAAAUAAAAAAUAAAAAAGAAGAGACAAGG
rnacentral:lncRNA from 10 species